AAUUAUCACAAAAAGAUAAAGAAAAAUGCACAAAAUAGUUAUAAUUGCUAUUAUUCAAUUUGUUGCUCUACCAAAUUUAAUCUUCAAGUCUUGAGAAAAUAUGUUUUUUACAGAACACUCAAAUACAUGCAAUGCAUUGACUAUCCAACAUGAAUAAUGAAAUCAACUGAAUUAUAAGUACCCCACAAAUGGUUUUGAAUUUACAGUAUACAUUAGUCCAUGCAUUUUAAAAUACAUGUAAAUAUUUUCCACAGGAUGUUUAGCAACC
rnacentral:lncRNA from 1 species